AAUGCAUGCAGCAUGUUUCAAAGGGAGUUGCUGUGUUAUGCAAAAGGCAGGAAUGCCAGAGGAAGGCAUGUGCCUUCCCUACUGUUCAGAUGGCGAUUGUCUGACACUUGGUAGCAGUAACUGGGAGAAUAGACUUCCCCCCUUCACCUGGGGAAGGUACCUUCUGAUGCUACUUAUGAAUACACCGCAAAGGAUAAAUGCCUUUGGAACAUAAGAUCUUGCUGUAACAAGGGAGUCAGCCACCAUCACUUGCAUUUUAGCCAAGGCUCAAAGAGAGAGGAUCUCACUGUGCUGCCGAGGCUGGAGCGCGGGGGCUGCCCUCAGGUGUGAUCGGAGCGCACUACAGCCUUGAACUCCCGACUCAAGCGAUCCUCCUGCCUCAGCUCCCUGAGGAGCUGGGGCUCCAGGUGCAUGCCGCCUCUUCCAGCUUUUAGCGGCUACCUUAUUGGAAGACUUAAGUUGGCCAGAUGCAAGGCAGGUAGGUCCAUACCACUCUGGCUUGU